AUUGAACGCUGGCGGCAUGCUUUACACAUGCAAGUCGAACGGUAGAGGGGGCAACCCCUUGAGAGUGGCGAACGGGUGAGUAAUGCAUCGGAACGUGCCCAGUCGUGGGGGAUAACGCAGCGAAAGCUGUGCUAAUACCGCAUACGAUCUCUGGAUGAAAGCGGGGGACCGAAAGGCCUCGCGCGAUUGGAGCGGCCGAUGUCAGAUUAGGUAGUUGGUGGGGUAAAGGCCUACCAAGCCAACGAUCUGUAGCUGGUCUGAGAGGACGACCAGCCACACGGGGACUGAGACACGGCCCACACUCCUACGGGAGGCAGCAGUGGGGAAUUUUGGACAAUGGGCGCAAGCCUGGUCCAGCAAUGCCGCGUGCAGGAAGAAGGCCUUCGGGUUGUAAACUGCUUUUGUACGGAACGAAACGGUCUGGGUUAAUACCCUGGGCUAAUGACGGUACCGUAAGAAUAAGCACCGGCUAACUACGUGCCAGCAGCCGCGGUAA
rnacentral:rRNA from 1 species